GGCACAGGUUUGAUGCGGAGUGGAUUAGUAGGAUCGGCUGACCCUACUAAUUUACUCUUCUUCAAACCUGUACUC
rnacentral:pre_miRNA from 1 species